UAUGUGCCACUGCACCGGCUGUUCUGUGAGUGGCUCCAUUAUUCUGUCAGCUUUGAUUAUCUGUCUGCCAACCUUCUCACAUUUUAUAAUGUAGAGAAUUAGUAACAAUUUCUUGUGAUGGCUUCUCCAGAGAUUUGCUUUAUUGGUGUCUGUGGAUGCCAAGGGGGCUUUCAGUCACAGCUCCUGAUACUGUCACACUCCAGAGUGCUGAGGACACACACUGCUCUCCUGGCAGAUGAUGCCCACAGAAUCAAGAGAAUCAAGGCGGUGACUUCACCUGCCUCUGGUAAAGCUGUGGAAGGAGUGAAACACCAUCUCUCCUGAAAAUUGAGUGAAGUUACACAGCAGCAUCGGGGGACAAACCACUCUAUUUAUAAAUCAGAAGUUGAGAAUUAAAUCCAUUCCGAGGAGUCUUCUGAAGUAUGGAGGCAUUUUAGGAAGCCUGAAUUCCUAAAAUGGGACACUGAUGGGUAUCAGAGUCACAACUGCUUCCAAUGUUCCUGAAGUUAGCAACCAACAAAUGGGAAAAAAAAUAAGUUACUGUGCUUCCUG